rnacentral:rRNA from 1 species
CGCGGCCUAUCAGCUUGUUGGUGGGGUGAUGGCCUACCAAGGCGGCGACGGGUAGCCGGCCUGAGAGGGUGUCCGGCCACACUGGGACUGAGAUACGGCCCAGACUCCUACGGGAGGCAGCAGUGGGGAAUAUUGCACAAUGGGCGCAAGCCUGAUGCAGCGACGCCGCGUGGGGGAUGACGGCCUUCGGGUUGUAAACCUCUUUCACCAUCGGCGAAGCCCGUAGCUUUUGUUGUGGGUGACGGUAGGUGGAGAAGAAGCACCGGCCAACUACGUGCCAGCAGCCGCGGUAAUACGUAGGGUGCGAGCGUUGUCCGGAAUUACUGGGCGUAAAGAGCUCGUAGGUGGUUUGUCGCGUUGUCCGUGAAAUUCCCUGGCUUAACUGGGGGCGUGCGGGCGAUACGGGCAGACUGGAGUACUGCAGAGGAGACUGGAAUUCCUGGUGUAGCGGUGGAAUGCGCAGAUAUCAGGAGGAACACCGGUGGCGAAGGCGGGUCUCUGGGCAGUAACUGACGCUGAGGAGCGAAAGCGUGGGGAGCGAACAGGAUUAGAUACCCUGGUAGUCCACGCCGUAAACGGUGGGUACUAGGUGUGGGUUUCCUUCCU